ACUUCCACAGAGGAGCAUGAGACGAUACCUUAUUUCUUUAUUUUCAAGAAAUAAGAAAAAAAUCGAAAAAAAAAUGCAAGAAUCAGUAGUGGAGCACUGAGUCAUGGAGUAGCUGGCCCAAUUUGAGUCAUAAUAAUCUAUGAGAUGAGGAGAGCUAGGAGGAGAAAGAAGAAUGCCUUGUCCAGGGAUGCCUUUGAGAUAGAGAGGCA
rnacentral:lncRNA from 1 species